UUUACCCUGGAGUGUGCGUUAGUGGGAUUAAGUCCCUGAGCCGAUAAGCAAUCCCAAAGGGUUAGUAUUUGAGGGCUAUUGAGCAAGCUCGGCUCGUACCGAGAAGCCUACGGUCAUCAUUGCUGAUCCGCCUUGAACCAGCUGGUUCAAGGGUCCAAAUCUCCAACGGCACUCUGGGGUAUCU
rnacentral:other from 2 species